UACGGAGGGGGCUAGCGUUGUUCGGAAUUACUGGGCGUAAAGCGCGCGUAGGCGGUCCUGCAAGUCGGGGGUGAAAGCCCGAGGCUCAACCUCGGAACUGCCUUCGAUACUGCGGGUCUCGAGUCCGGGAGAGGUGAGUGGAAUUCCUAGUGUAGCGGUGGAAUGCGCAGAUAUCAGGAAGAACACCCGUGGCGAAGGCGGCUCUCUGGGACGGUACUGACGCUGAGACGCGAAAGCGUGGGGAGCGAACAGG
rnacentral:rRNA from 1 species